GUCCAACUAAAUGAUCUCUUCGAAGCCCUUUCUGUUUUAAUUUUCUGUCCUUCAAGAAGACAGAGUCAGGUGUGGGUGGGUGGAGAUGAGGGACCCUCAGCAGCUAGAGUAGAAGGAUGGCUCCCCCACUUAGGGCUGAGAGAAGACUCAAUACCCAGGCCCAGCUUUACCACUUGUUAUAACGUUGAAACCUGCCACUCCCGUAUCAUUGGUGUAGGCGUGAGGACAGCACUUGAAGAUCCUGGAACAGUCUACAGAAAGUCUUGCAGGCCCUGGCUAAUGCGAAAGGGCAGAUUAAGGGCUCUCCCAGCUCUACGAUUAUCUGAUUAAGUGUAAAUGGCAGAAGCAGAUGCCUGUUUGCAGAAGUCACUUUUAGCAGCUACCACUUGGAAGGCACAAAUUCUUCUCUGGAGGAAGUGGGACUUUGCAGCAAAGAAGAAAGAGAAGACAACUAACUGGCUGGUCCGGGUACCUUGAUAGAGACCUCUCAGAGGAUGGCACACAGGGUUCCCCUCUGACUACAAGAGUCAGAGGUUCUGUUUAUGACAGUAUUCUCCCAUCACUCACCCUUAAAAACUGGCAGUCAUUCCCAACCCCUCCUGUUCCCUCGAUCCCUGCUCCAGUCACCAGUCACCUCAUUUCUGCUCUAGCGAUGCCUCUCAUGUCCUUUCCAUUCCAUCCAUACCUUAUGCUAACACUUCAAGUUCACAUUACCUCAUGUCCAGACCAUUUCGAGGGCCUUUUAGCCCGUCUCCCAAGCUCCAUGUCACCCCUCCCACCACCACAUUAUUCCUCAAGAAACUGCUUCCAUCAUGUGAUUUCACUGUUCAAAACCCCCUAAUGACUACCCAGUGUCUACUGAAUACAGCUCAGCUUUCUAGAACAACAUUCAAGUUUCUUUUUAAUCUAAUUCCAAUCUUCAUUUCCAAAUGCUUUCCUCAGGAUUCCUCUGUAAGAAUCCUAUGAUUUAGUCAGGACGGUUUCCUUGUUAUUCCUUAAACAUGCUAUUUCCUUCCUCCGAGCCUUUGGUGGUGAGUUCUCUUUCGUGUCCAACUCUUUGUGACCCCAUAGACUGUAACCCUCCAGACUCCUCUGUCCAUGGAAUUUUCCAAGCAGGAAUACUGGAGUGGGUUGCCAUUUCUUUCUCCAGGGGAUCUUCCCGACCCAGGGAUUGAAACUGCAUCUCUGCAUUGCAGAAGGGUUCUUUACCACUGAGCCACCUGGGAAUCCAAGCCUUUACCCACUCCAGUCCCCACACUUGGCUCACCCUCCUCCAGCUGCCACAGCCCAGCUCACUCUCUCCCCACUGUGAUGCCUUCCCUUGCUCACUCCAGGGAAUGGAGCCUCUCCCUGUUCGAAUCAUACCGCACAUUCAGCACUCAGCCCCUACUGCCUCAUAUUACCAAUUAGCCUUUAGCAUAUGCUUUACUUUCCCUGUUGUGACUGUCUUAUAGCCAGAGGACUGAGGGAGAGGGGUGGUGGGAGGCCUGUGACGUGGGCUAUGGUGGUGCAGAUGGGUGGUUAUGCUCUUGGGCUCAGAAAUCACAUAAGGUGGGUUCACCUCUCAGCUCUGCACUAACUAAGGACACACUCUUAUUAAGACACCUAAUCUUGGGCUCCAAAAUCACUGUGGACAGUUACUGCAGCCAUGAAAUUAAAAGAACUUGCUCCUUGGAAGAAAAGCUAUGACAAACUCGAUGGACAUGAGUUUGAGCAAACUCCAGGAGAUAGUGAAGGACAGGGAAGACUGGCAUGCUGCAGUCCCUGUGGUCACAGAGUCAGACACAACUUAGCAACUGAACAACAACAGAUCUCUCAGUGUCUUCAUCUGUAAGAUGGGGAUAAUGACAGUCCUUUCCUUAUAGUGGUGUUGUGAGGAUUAAAUGAGUGAAUAUGUAAAGAGCUCUUACCCAGGACUGACACAUAUUAAUAGAUAAAGCUCAGUUAAUAUUAGUUACCUUUAUUUUCAUUAUCAAACAAAAGAAGGUUUAUGAUGUAUCAAUACUAGACACUGUAUAAAUGACCUUAUUUAAUCUGAACGUCUGCCCUAUGAAGUAAGAGGAUCAUGCCCUAGCUAGCCCCGCUGUGGAACCCUCUGACUAGCCCUGAAAUGCUAAAUCAGGACUUUUACACGAGACAAAAAUACACACCAGUUAUAUUUAAGCCAUGUUUAACAUCCCUGUUGCAGCUGAACUUAAUUCUAACAGUCACGAUUCCUGUCACUCUAGUGCUGCACGCAGCUAACGUCUCUCUGGUGGCCAUGAGAAAUUUCUAGGAUUUUACAAACACUCUAUUAAGAGGAAAUGAUCCAAUUUAACUGUUCAGCUCUCUCUUUGAGUGAGCAGGAAGAUAUUUGAUUGAGGAAUAAGAGAGAAGCAUAGAUUCUUUCUAAAUGGGUGGGGAAAAGUGGGACUAAAAUUAGGGACUCUAGGCUGCAAUCAUCCAUAACACCAUGGGGACACUGGGUCUCACUGUUGGCACAGUUUCUUCAGAUAACCAAUAGCAGCACCAGAAAUGGAUGUUUUGCACAAUGUGAAUCUAAACCCAGCCUCAGAUCAGGAACAUGACUGGAGCUGGCUUUGGGUCAUGGUUAGCAAUUUGUGUUGUCAUGACCUUGAUUUGUUCUUCAUGCAUCCACACCUUAGAGAUAAAGACAAGUAAAAUAUAAAAACAAUAAGUAGGUGGUCGAAUUAGUGGCACCACACCCCUUACCCCAACCUCAUUUUGACUUGUUGGAGGUGCUUGUCCUUCACUAGAGCUGUGAAUUGUAGCUACUCACAUGCUCAGAUUCUCCUGCAGCAUAAGGCACAGACAUGAGAUCCAAUUUAGUACAACUGACCUGUGACAUCUGCUGAGAGCCUUAUGGGAACCUCCUUCUUUGCUGGAUAUAUUCUUGUUGACAUGUGGUGCCUGGAACUGCUGCAGCUGUCUUGUUAGUAGGAGGGAGACAUGGUUGAGAUACCCAGGAAGGCAGAGCCAAGAGAUGGGAAAUAUCUAGAUCCAUGAAGACAUCAUCGAUCCAAUCCUUUAAAGUUGGACUGAAUCUAGGUUUAUUGCUAUGUGAAAGAAUAAAUGUCCUUAUGUUUAAUUAAUUU